rnacentral:lncRNA from 1 species
CAAUUUCAACAUAUUAGAACACUGCUGGAUGUUUUUGUUUGUUCUUUUUUUUCCCAUUCAGUACUGUGGAAUGGAAAUGAUUUUCUUACCAGGCAAAGAGCUAAUGGCAGAGAACUGAAUGGAGCCACCUAACUACUUCACUGCAUCAGUCAGGAUAACUGGUUGCGUAUUUAAGGAGAAGUGAUCAGAGACAGAGUAAAUUCUGUACCAACUACCUACAGUGUCUCAAUGAGGUUACAGGAUUACUACAGAUUUAAAUGUACAAGAACUGCUGAAUCAUGGCCUGAACUUCUGAUUGAACACCUGAGGCAAGCAAUGAGUCAGCCAUGGGAGCACAGGUGAAGGUAAUUCACCUGUGCUACUGGAAGGGGUGGAGCCUGGCUCCACCUCUCCUAGAUCCCAUUUUAAGUGCUGACUGCUAUUGAGAAAGGAUCUCUUCUUGGGGAUUGCUUCUUGUGGAGGAUGUUGUGAGCCUACAACACUGGUAAGCAUUUUCUAUUUAUUCUCUUCCUGUUGUGAUAAUCUUAUUUAAUCUAACUUUCCUGUAUAUUUCUUAAUUAUAACAUCUGUAUAUUCAUUGGUUAUACGAUAAUGAACUUAAUGCAGUAUUUUGAUUAUCAAUAUGUGGUUAUCAACAUGUUCAAUUUUACUACAUACUACGGGCCAAUGUAAUAAUCAUGGACUUGAAUGCUGAGCUCUUUCUGGAAGUGCUCAUCCUCAAAUAUUGCUAUGGAAAGGGAGAUCUAAGCCUGCCAGGUAUUUUACAGAGCAAGGAAAUGUAAAGCUGCUUAUUGCAUUAUGGAUGAUAUCAC